AAUUAUUUCCCACACGUAAACAACACUUGCUCGCACUGUCACACGCGCACACGUUCCUUUUCUUUUAUUUAUUAUUUUUUAAUCAGACACGCUCACAGACCGAAAUAACGUUGGUGAAAAAAACAAACGUAAUAAAAAUAAUUAAAACAGUAUAAAUAUUGUUUUAGUUACCACUUGUUUGCUUGGUGGUGCUAUCACAGAUCACGUGACUUAACAGUGCUCAGAUACUAACCCCCGGGACCCGAUGACGUCACUCCACUUUCCUAUGACAAUACAAAUCUACAUACAAUCUUUGUUUGAGUGUCAAAGGUCAUGUAUAUGUAUUUAUUUUGCACAUAAACUUUUAUGGUUAUGUCUUUUCUGUUAAAUCUUGGUCAAAUAAUUUAUUUGACAAGCAUGACAUUUAACGGGAGGUCAUAUUAAUGAGACUAAAACAGAGUCGAAAAAAAAUUAGCCGUGCCAGUGAGCAUGCUAGGCUACACAACACAGCUCACAUUGCCCAUGUCCGUGUGUUGAAAUUUGCCGUGGAUGUCAGCAGCUGUCGUGCAUGUCGUCAUGAUGUGGGAAUGUGGUUGGAAUGUUGGAGCCAUCAUGUUUUCCUCCGCCCUUCCGUCUCCCUGUUGUAAUCCUUCCCUUCUUGAUAUGACUUGACCUUGCCACAUUUGGACUGAUAUCUACUUAUAACCAGGAUUAGGAGCAACAUAGUGACCCAAGGAACUUGAUGUCAGCCCCCCCGCCGACCCUGGAAGCGACCCACCACCCACUUCACCCAUCUGCGUUCCAUUCGCGGAGACCCUUCCAGGUCAGAAUGAGCUCGCCCUCCCAGCCACCAACAGUUUGUGGCAGCUGCCCUCAGCGCCACGGCUCCCCUUUCAUACAUCCAGUCAGCGAGCUUGUGUCGUGGUGCGUCGGAUAGGAUGAUGUUCCUUCCCUUCAAGAGUACAUUGCAAUACUUUGGACUAAUUUGAUUUUUCAAAAUCAAGUCCAGUUUGUGGCGGCCCGAAACAACAGCGGAAGACGGCGGUGAUUGAAAGCGACCGCAUGAAUUUGAAUUCCCCCCUCUGGCCCCAGCGCAAAGCCAAGAAACAGUACAAGGGACUCAGCUCCUCUCACGACGAGUCCUUUUUUUUUUUUUUUUGUCCGUGAACCCGAGGCCCGCUCCCUUAGAGGCAUCCUACCUCCGUUGACCUUUUCGGCACCAAGGUCAUGAGCCUCGGGUCUGCCAGUGGCUCCC